rnacentral:rRNA from 1 species
AGUGGGGGAUAACGUAGCGAAAGUUACGCUAAUACCGCAUAUUCUGUGAGCAGGAAAGCAGGGGAUCGCAAGACCUUGCGCUUUCGGAGCGGCCGAUGUCGGAUUAGCUAGUUGGUGGGGUAAAGGCCUACCAAGGCGACGAUCCGUAGCGGGUCUGAGAGGAUGAUCCGCCACACUGGGACUGAGACACGGCCCAGACUCCUACGGGAGGCAGCAGUGGGGAAUUUUGGACAAUGGGCGCAAGCCUGAUCCAGCCAUGCCGCGUGAGUGAAGAAGGCCUUCGGGUUGUAAAGCUCUUUCGGCCGGGACGAAAUCGGCGAGGCUAAUAUCCUCGCUGGAUGACGGUACCGGAAUAAGAAGCACCGGCUAACUACGUGCCAGCAGCCGCGGUAAUACGUAGGGUGCGAGCGUUAAUCGGAAUUACUGGGCGUAAAGCGUGCGCAGGCGGUUAUGAAAGACAGGCGUGAAAUCCCCGGGCUUAACCUGGGAACGGCGCUUGUGACUCCAUGACUCGAGUACGGCAGAGGGGGGUGGAAUUCCA